UACGUAGGGUGCGAGCGUUAAUCGGAAUUACUGGGCGUAAAGCGUGCGCAGGCGGUUUUGUAAGCCAGAUGUGAAAUCCCCGGGCUUAACCUGGGAAUGGCAUUUGGGACUGCAAGGCUGGAGUGCGGCAGAGGAGACUGGAAUUCCUGGUGUAGCAGUGAAAUGCGUAGAUAUCAGGAGGAACACCGGUGGCGAAGGCGGCCUGCUGGGCAGUGGCUGACGCUGAGGCGCGACAGCGUGGGGAGCAAACAGG
rnacentral:rRNA from 1 species